UAGUAUAAAAUGUGUAACAAAGCAUUUGACAUGACAAAAUACCCUAGUUUGAAAAUAAGUUUAAAAUUACCUUAAUUUGGGAAAUAAGUUUUGAAAGUACUCCAGUUUGGGAGAAAACAAAAACUCAUAGUAAGAGAGACUUCUCAAUCCUGUGUAAAGUAAGUAAACAUAGAUCAAAUCGCCCCAAGAACCGUAAACUUUUUGGCGACAAAUAUUGCAUACUCAAACAAUGGGGACAAAAAUUACUCCAUAGGUAUCAUGAAUCAUUGAAUAUUCUUCUCACCGGUAUGCUGGGGAACACA